UACGGGGGGAGCAAGCGUUGUUCGGAUUUACUGGGCGUAAAGGGCGCGUAGGCGGCCUCCGCAAGUCGACUGUGAAAUCUCCGGGCUUAACCCGGAAAGGUCAGCCGAAACUGCGGGGCUAGAGUGCAGAAGGGGCAACUGGAAUUCUCGGUGUAGCGGUGAAAUGCGUAGAUAUCGAGAGGAACACCUGCGGCGAAGGCGGGUUGCUGGGCUGGUCCUGACACUCAGGAGCGAAAGCGUGGGGAGCGAUCCGG
rnacentral:rRNA from 1 species